CCAAUUCCUGUCUCGUCCAUCACCACAUUGAAGACGGUUGGUCAGCCAGAGAGAGAUGGAGAGUGAGAUCUGGAUCCUUCAGUGAAUCCUGCAGCCGGUACUCAGGAAGUUCCUGACUCAAUAGACUUCCCAACUGCUGUGUGUCUCAUCCAUCACCUUAUUGUAGAUGGUUGGUCAGCCAGAGAGACAAAGGGCAGAGAGAUCUGGAACCUUCAAUAAAUCCUGCAGUGAGGUAAUCAGGAUGUUCCUCACUCCUGUCUCAUCCAUCACCUCAUUGAAACUGGUUGGUCAGCCCGAGUGAGAGAGGUGGAGAGGGAGAUCUGGAGCCUUCAGUAAAUCCUGCAGCCGGUUGCAUUGGGACAUUGACAGGACGCAGAGCUGGGCUGGAAGUGGCAGAUGGAGUCCAAUCUGGAAAAGUGUGA